ACCGAGACUAGAGUCACAUCUAGAUAUUGUCCAUUAUCAUGGUGUGCUAUAGUAUUCGGAUAGGAACAGCUGACCUUUAUUCUCUGACUGUGUUGUUUGGUAGCAUAGUUGGUCACCAGGUUAGCAACAUAA